rnacentral:rRNA from 1 species
AUGAAGAAGAAGAUCACCGACGACGAGCACAAGCGUUGGGCCACCCUGCCUCUGUCCAUGAGGCACAUCGAGUACGCGACAAAGGACGCCUAUGCAGCGAUGGCGGCGGUAGCGGAUACAUGCGUUUACGCAGAGGGGCUAGAGCUCACCAACACAGAGUGGCCCAGCAUGCUCGGGUGCCUGAUGAUACCCAAUAGGGGGUUUCGGGCACCAUUUCUUCAUCGCCUCACACCCGCAGAUCUGCAGCAAAGUUGGAAACUGCCAUCCACAGUAAAAUUUCCUGCUCCGAGUUCAGGGAUGGUUACUUUGGAGACAGAACACAAGAAUGGGUAUGGAGACAGGCAAGCUGACUACCACAUCGACUCUGAAGAAUGCAUCAAGAUAACUACUGGUUGGAAAGAAUUUGUCUCCUAG